rnacentral:rRNA from 1 species
AUUGAACGCUGGCGGCAGGCCUAACACAUGCAAGUCGAGCGGAUGAGGGAAGCUUGCUUCCCGAUUUAGCGGCGGACGGGUGAGUAAUGCCUAGGAAUCUGCCUGUUAGUGGGGGAUAACGUUCCGAAAGGAACGCUAAUACCGCAUACGUCCUACGGGAGAAAGGGGGGGAUCUUCGGACCUCCCGUCAGUAGAUGAGCCUAGGUCUGAGUAGCUAGUUGGUGGGGUAAAGGCUCACCAAGGCGACGAUCCGUAGCCGGUCUGAGAGGAUGAUCAGCCACAAUGGAACUGAGACACGGUCCAGACUCCUACGGGAGGCAGCAGUGGGGAAUAUUGGACAAUGGGCGAAAGCCUGAUCCAGCCAUGCCGCGUGUGUGAAGAAGGUCUUCGGAUUGUAAAGCACUUUAAGUUGGGAGGAAGGGUUGUAAGCUAAUAUCUUGCAGCUUUGACGUUACCAACAGAAUAAGCACCGGCUAACUCUGUGCCAGCCGCCGCAGUAAUAC